CCGAGUACCGGGUCUUCAUGGCCCUUACUCCCACCCUUUGUGUACCUACCUCUUUUUUUCGUUGCCUCGGCGGGGGAGAUCCCGGGCCUCACGGCCCACCGGGGACUCGCCGGGGGGACACCACCAAACUCUUGUCAACAGUGUCGUCUGAGAACAAACAUAAUAAAUCA
rnacentral:misc_RNA from 1 species